rnacentral:rRNA from 1 species
GACGAACCGAGCGAACGUUGUUCGGAAUCACUGGGCAUAAAGGGCGCGUAGGCGGGUGUGUAAGUCUGUGGUGAAAUACUCUAGCUCAACUAGAGAACUGCCUCGGAUACUGUGCAUCUCGAGUAAGGUAGGGGCACGUGGAACGGCUGGUGGAGCGGUGAAAUGCGUUGAUAUCAGAUCGGAACUCCGGUGGCGAAGGCGAUGUGCUGGACCUUUACUGACGCUGAGGCGCGAAAGCCAGGGGAGCAAACGGG